GACCGCGUAGCUCAGUUGGCAGAGCAUUGGACUAGUAUUCCAAAGGUCUUAGGUUCGAUUCCCAUCGUGCCCA
rnacentral:tRNA from 1 species